rnacentral:rRNA from 1 species
UGGAGAGUUUGAUCCUGGCUCAGAUUGAACGCUGGCGGCAGGCCUAACACAUGCAAGUCGAACGGUAGCACAGAGAGCUUGCUCUCGGGUGACGAGUGGCGGACGGGUGAGUAAUGUCUGGGAAACUGCCUGAUGGAGGGGGAUAACUACUGGAAACGGUAGCUAAUACCGCAUAACGUCGCAAGACCAAAGAGGGGGACCUUCGGGCCUCUUGCCAUCAGAUGUGCCCAGAUGGGAUUAGCUAGUAGGUGGGGUAACGGCUCACCUAGGCGACGAUCCCUAGCUGGUCUGAGAGGAUGACCAGCCACACUGGAACUGAGACACGGUCCAGACUCCUACGGGAGGCAGCAGUGGGGAAUAUUGCACAAUGGGCGCAAGCCUGAUGCAGCCAUGCCGCGUGUAUGAAGAAGGCCUUCGGGUUGUAAAGUACUUUCAGCGGGGAGGAAGGCGAUAAGGUUAAUAACCUUGUCGAUUGACGUUACCCGCAGAAGAAGCACCGGCUAACUCCGUGCCAGCAGCCGCGGUA